CCACUCCAGUGGCGUAAGUGGUUAGAGCGUUCGCCUCGGAUGCGGGAGGUCGUGGGAUCGAACCCCUGCCUAAUAGU